UACGUAGGGUGCAAGCGUUAAUCGGAAUCACUGGGCGUAAAGGGUGCGCAGGUUGUUUAGAAAGAAAGAUGUGAAAUCCCAAAGCUUAACUUUGGAACUGCAUCUUUUACUACUAGACUAGAGUUUAUCAGAGGGAGGAGGAAUUCCAUGUGUAGCAGUGAAAUGCGUAGAUAUAUGGAAGAACACCAAAGGCGAAGGCAACCUCCUGGGGUACAACUGACACUAAGGCACUAAAGCAUGGGGAGCAAACAGG
rnacentral:rRNA from 1 species